GACGAACCACACAAACGUUAUUCGGAAUUACUGGGCUUAAAGGGCGCGUAGGCGGAUCUUUAAGUCGGGGGUGAAAGCCUGAGGCUCAACCUCAGAAUUGCCUUCGAUACUGGAGAUCUUGAGUCCGGAAGAGGUGAGUGGAACUGCGAGUGUAGAGGUGAAAUUCGUAGAUAUUCGCAAGAACACCAGUGGCGAAGGCGGCUCACUGGUCCGGUACUGGCGCUGAGGUGCGAAAGCGUGGGGAGCAAACAGG
rnacentral:rRNA from 1 species